rnacentral:rRNA from 1 species
UACGGAGGGUGCAAGCGUUAUCCGGAUUCACUGGGUUUAAAGGGUGCGUAGGUGGGAUGGUAAGUCAGUGGUGAAAUCUCCGGGCUUAACUCGGAAACUGCCGUUGAUACUAUCAUUCUUGAAUCUCGUGGAGGUAAGCGGAAUAUGUCAUGUAGCGGUGAAAUGCUUAGAUAUGACAUAGAACACCAAUUGCGAAGGCAGCUCACUACGGGAUUAUUGACACUGAGGCACGAAAGCGUGGGGAUCAAACAGG